rnacentral:rRNA from 1 species
AUACGGAGGGUGCAAGCGUUAAUCGGAAUUACUGGGCGUAAAGCGCUCGUAGGCGGCUUGUUAAGUCGGAUGUGAAAGCCCCGGGCUCAACCUGGGAACUGCAUUCGAUACUGGCAGGCUAGAGUAUAGUAGAGGCAAGUGGAAUUCCGGGUGUAGCGGUGAAAUGCGUAGAUAUCCGGAGGAACAUCAGUGGCGAAGGCGACUUGCUGGACUAAUACUGACGCUAAGGAGCGAAAGCGUGGGGAGCAAACGGGAUUAGAUACCCCAGUAGUCC